CCUCCCUCUUAAACCCACACCCUGGAUGCAGGCAGGCGUGCACACACCGGCAGAUUGACUCAGCUUCCGCAUCGCUCUCCCUUCUCUCCAUCUCUGCUGCCUCUAUCCCUCCACUGGUGGAUUUUUAGCCCACUUCUGUCGCCAACAUGUCUGACAAGCCUGAUAUGACUGAGAUUGCCCGUUUCGACAAGGCAAAGCUGAAGAAGACGGAGACAAAAGAGAAAAACCCUCUGCCCACCAAAGAGACCAUCGAGCAAGAGAGGAAAGGCGAUGCCACACCUUGACUUCGAGCACAUGAAGAAAAGACGCUGAGAUGCCACAGCAAAAAGCACUUUUUUUUUAUCAUCACAGUAUUUCAAUCGCUUGCUUUGUCUUCAGAAAAGGGUGCUCUUGAGCAUCGCGGGGUGCCUAAGGGUUUAUGGCAUCCCCUCAUUGGGGGCUCUCUUACCACAUGGGUGGAAAAAUGUUAGCCUGGGUGCCUGUCUUGCACAGUUAGAAUAUAGCUAACAUGUCCAAUAUUGCCAAACUGGGGAGUGGUGUAGUUGUGUAGUGAUGUAGCACAGAGAGAGAGGCAGGCAUCCAGGCUAGUGGGAGGGUGGGGGGGGGAGAGGGGGGUAUCAGAUGAGAGCAAUCGGAGUCUAAUCAUGUGGGAUGUUUUCUUAUUAAACUUUUUACUUUUAUUUAUGAAAUAAAUAUGAAGACGUGAAACCAGUCAGUCCUGUGCCUAUUGCUGUCUCCUUUAUGUCUGUGUAAUACCCACACCUAUGAGUGAUCGUGCUGAGACAUGGUAUAAAUACACAAAUAAAAAUGAGUUAUCUAGAUUGCAGAUUGGUCAGUACUGUAUAAAAAGUAUGUAAGUAUACAAUUAUGUAAUUCACACCUCCUAAGUGAGUAUAUACAGAGCCAUAUUAAAGUAAUGACAUUUGAAAACUCCAUUACU